CCAUAGCCUAGCAUUCAACUACAAUCGAUGGCAAUUUGGUGGCAAGGUAAUGGCGAGGGUAAACCAUACUACCUGGGAUUUAUACCUAGCAUAGAAGUACGAGUAAUAGUCCUAUCAAUGCAUCUCUACCAACAACACUAAUGCAUAAGUAUCUUAAAACAACAAUAAUAAUGGGAUAUGAUCAAAGUGAACUUGCCUUGUCCAAGGUUGUGAUAGUUCUCGCACUCUUUGCAACAACAAGGAAUACACUCCACACAAUCUAAAAAUAAAAGAAACAUGCACACAAUAAACACAACAUUCAAUGCAAAAAUCAUGUCAUGAUACAUAUGCUAUGAUGAUGCACACAAAGGUUACUUUUAGUGUAACAAGUUUUGUUUCUGUUUUGAAAAGUUUUCAAAUGAUUUGGACAGAUUAUACAAUACCAAAGAGGUAAUUAAUAUGCAUGAAACAAGAAUAGGGUUUAAAUCAAAGAUUGUGUGGUUUUUGCAACAUAGAACAAGAUUUAAACUUGUAAGCCAUUUUUAUUCACAAAAUAAUUUCUUUUCUGGUCCUAAUGGACAGAGAACAAGUUUAAAUAAUUUUACAGCAAGAUAACAUGCUCAAAACUAUUUUGAAACAAUUCAUUUGAAAUUUAAACCAUAAACCACCAUUCUGUAAAUAGCUACUAUUUAAGUUGCUCAAAACUGAAAUUAAACAGUGCCAUAAUAUUCUACACGUUGUGACGAUUCCAGAGAGGUGUGGAUCACAAUUUUUGGACAAACGGUUUCAAAGAUAUGAGGCUUUGAAGACACAGGGGCUUUUCUGCAAAAUUGCAUUAUCCAAUCCGGCCGAAUUAAAAUAAAAUAAAAUAAAAAAUAAAUGCUCUGCCACGUGGCAGCGCACUGUUGGCCGGGAUCUAGGGUUCUGGCCGGCAGCGGCGCGGGUAGGCGGCGCGGCGGCGGGCGGCACAGGCGAC
rnacentral:lncRNA from 1 species